GAGGUCCGUUAAGAGAAAAAGUAAAAGAGAAGGAGAGGUCGAAAGUCAGAGUGGAAUCGAGAGUUCUACAAUUGAGUCUGCUGGCCGGAAUCUUGAUGAAAAGCCUCCGUCUGCUGCCCAAUACAAGGUAAAAUUCAUUUCAUUUCUUUGCUUCAUCUCCUCUCUUUGAUUGAUCGAUUAUUUAUUUUGUUUCAAGUUCAUGUUGGUUUCUUUGUUCAUUGGCUGCGAGUUAAGUUAAAAAAUGUGAUAUCCUAUCUAGUUUUGACGUUAUUGUUGUUUCUCUGUGAGAAUCUGGCCAUAUCGGCCCAUCAUAAUUUUUUAUUCUUCCUGUUAUGUGGUUGUUGCCAUCCAAACCGGUGAGGAAUACGAAACUCGAUCUUCUACUAUUUUCAAAUUGGUCUCGCAUCAAGACAUUAAAAUAUGCAAAUUUCCAUUCUUUGUUCUCUUUCACCAUACGACUAUGAGUAGUUAAUUUGAGUUGUCAGGAGUCUUUAAAGUGAUUUACAGUGACAAUGGGUGAAUUUAAUUUAAACGCAAGAAAAAUGGAAGAUAAUAAGUUAUGGUUCCAUACUUAGCUUCUUUACUAUUUUGAUUUGUGGGUAUUUGAACUACUACGAACUGCCCCUCUUAAUUCUCGUAUAUGGAGAAAUUUUGGUUGAUGUUUUUCUAUACAACCCAUCUCAUGUUUGAGUAUGAACUAGCUUAUUUUUGGCCGCUUGGAUAUUAUGAAUAUGUGAUUUGAUUAUUGUUUGGUCUUCGCGAAUUGAGUUUAGAAUAGGAUUUUUGUCUCAACUUAUCUCAAUAUUUGAUUUUUUGGAGUUCGAGUUGCGUGAGAUAUAAAUAUAACUUCUUGUUGUUUUCCAACAUGUGAUUGUUUGUGUUUAGGCAUUUUGUAACGUUGGCAGCGGGUGAAAAAAUAAAUAUUCAGAUUAUUAAAUACUGAUAUAAAAAUAAAAAGGAUAUUUGCUUCGUGUUUUAGUUCAUGAUUUCUUUCUCGUUCAAUCACCACCCGAAUUAUAACAUAUAAACGAGUGUAAUGUUUAGCAACAAUUAGGAACCCCCCCCCCC
rnacentral:lncRNA from 1 species